CUGUGGGGCCCCCGGGAGGGCCCUUCUCUGCGGCGGCCGGAGUCCUCUAUGCCCAUCUCGGAGGUGCCGGCUCCCAGGCUCCAGAGCUUCAACAAACGAAGAAAGUAAUUCCCAUGACUCCGGGAAGAGUUUUCAACUGGAUCCCUUUUUCUCGCUCCUUGAGUGUCAUUCCAAGGAGAGACUGAGUCCAUCCAGGACUCGGGUUGCUAUGCCAGGAGCUGACCUGUGAGAAGCCACGAAGCAAGGGCUGGAGGACAGCAAUGAGCCCUCUGUCCAGCAGUCCAUGAGACACUGAUACUGACAACCACGUGAGUGAGCCUGAAUGAAAAUCCUCCCUGAGCCAAGCCUUCAGAUGACUGCAGCCCCAUCCAGCACCUGACUGCAUCCUCAAUUGAGACCUUGAGGCAGAAAACCCAGCUGAGUUACACCAGAUUCCUGAACACAGAAAUCUUGAGAUAGAGAAGAAAAGGCCAGUCUUUGGAUUGUUCUUCUCUUCUGAUGGGAGUCAACUCUUCUGUUUGGUUUUAAGAAUGUCUUUUGGGAGCCUGGUAUUCCCAGUUGCCUGCUACCCACCCAGUGUUCAAGUACAACCAGCGCCCUGCCAACCCCCUCCUGGGAUAGUUCUAGAAAAGCCUCACACCAGGUCUUGCCCAUAGCAGGUUUAGAGUUUGUGGGACUAAGAGAACUAGAUCCUAUUCUUUGCCUUCAGAAAAGAAAGCUUAUUUGCAUUUUAUAAUGAGAAAGACAAGACACAUGAUACAGUCCUUCAAAAUAAAAAAGCUAGUAAUGAAAAUGUCAGUGUGCGUGUGUGUGUAUAAUGAUGUUAUUGUAGGUCCAUCAGUUGUAACAAACGUCCUACCCUGGUGUCUGACAGUGAUUGUGAGGGAAACUGCAUGUGUGGAGGUGUGUGUGUGUACAUGCGCAUGCAUAGUGGGGUGGGGACAGGGUAUAGGGCAACUCUCUGUACUUUUCACUCCAUUUGCGGUGAACCUAAAACUUCUCUAAACUAAAAUCUGUUUCUUUAACUGUAUUUAUUUUUUUGGCAGCACUGUGUGGCACAUGGGCUCUUCUCAAGCGACCAGGAGAUUGAAUCCAUGUAGCCUGCGGUGGAAGCAUGGAGUCUUAACCACUGGACCACCAGGGAAGUCCUAAAGUCUAUUAUUUAAGUGAUUGACAGUAACCUUUAGGGGGGAAAAAUUGAAUUGGGUAAAUAUGGGCAAAGCUCUUAGCACAGUGCCAAGCAUGUAACUGCUCAAGUAGUGUUUAUCAUUGUUAUAGGAGAAAAUACAAACAAUGGCAGGAAUUGCUUUAAUCUAUACAUCUAUUUCCCCAUAAUAAUAAUAAAAUAAUCUGAAUACUUAUUUUAAAGAAGGGGGGGAAGGAGAGGGCUCUAUGUGGAAUACUUAGUACUAAAACUUAGAUGUCCUGCCUAUAAAUGCCUCUAUCAUUUCUUCAUUCAGUAGACAUUUGUGGCCCACCUGCAAUGUGUAAGGCACCCUACCCAGUGCUGAGAAUAUACAGAUGAGUGAGACCCAACCAGUCCACCAGGCAGAUAAGUCCUAGGGGCAUUGCAACAUAGUAAAAUUUGAGAUGGAUGAAAAAUAUGCCUCUUCCUCCCCGUCCUCUCCCUCCUUCUAAUGUUGAAGAAUUAUUUUGAACUUGGGUGCCUUCUCCAGAAGAUCAUGUUGAGAAUCUGGAAUCUGACCAUCAGUAUACAUACCUCAGUUUGAAGACUAUUAACUUAGAUGAAAGAGAGACUGAUGUGCCAAGCAAUGGAAUUUUCAACUUAUCUCCAUUUAUAAAGGUUUCUGAACCUCCACACUGUUGACAUUUUGGAAAUUGGGGGAAAUUCUUUGCUGUUGGGGAAGGUCAUCCUCUACAGUGCAAUGAAGAAUGUUCAGCAGAGUCCUUGACCUUUAACCACCAGAUGCCAGGAGAAAGCACCCCACCCCUCCAGCUGCAACAACCAAAUGCCUCCAGAUAGUGCCAGAUGUUCCCUGGGGGAUGGGAUAGCCCCUACUUGAUCACCACCACAGUAG